rnacentral:lncRNA from 1 species
CUGUGACAUGAGCGACUGAAACUCCAACCAUCUGUGUCAGAGAAAGGACAGAGCUGCAAAAGGCCCAGGGGUCAGCACCGGGAGGAGAAGAUGCAGUGAAAAGGGAAAAAGCAGAUCCCGGAUCCGGGUGGGCGACGCGCAGACGGGAGCUCUCAAGAAAGCUAAGGCAUCGAUCCCCCUUAGAACAGGAGCCCAGGACAGUCUCAUGCCCCAUGAGCUGAGUUCAAGCACUGGCAGAAGUGGUGCCAGGAGGAGAGCAAGAGGUCUCCUCUGCUGCCCGAGGAGCGAGGAGCUGGGAUACUGACUCUCCCCCCUCCAUCCCAUG